rnacentral:rRNA from 1 species
UUGGUUAUGCUAAUAAGAGCGUAUGGUGGAUGCCUUGGCACUAAGAGCCGAUGAAAGACGUGAUAAGCUGCGAAAAGCUUCGGGGAGGAGCAAAUAUCCUAUGAUCCGGAGAUCUCUGAAUGGGGAAACCCACCUGAGCAAACCUCAGGUAUCCUAACGCCAAUACAUAACGUUAGGAGGGGAACCCGGUGAACUGAAACAUCUAAGUAGCCGGAGGAAGAGAAAACAACAUGUGAUUCUGGAAGUAGCGGCGAGCGAAACCGGAAGAGCCCAAACCGGAGUGCGUGCACUCCGGGGUUCGGACCGCGGAAUUGAUCCAAAAGACUUAACAGAACGGCCUGGGAAGGCCGGCCAGAGAGGGUGAAAGCCCCGUAAGUGAAAGGUCGAUUGGCAUGGCGGUAUCCAGAGUAGGUCGAGACACGUGGAACCUUGACUGAAUAUGCGGGGACCACCCCGUAAGGCUAAAUACUCCUUAGUGACCGAUAGCGCAUAGUACUGUGAAGGAAAGGUGAAAAGGACCCCGGGAGGGGAGUGAAAAAGAACCUGAAACCAUAUGUUUACAAGCUGUGGAACCACUUUAAAUGUGGAACCGCGUACUUUUUGUAGAACGGUCCGGCGAGUUACGCUGGCUGGCGAGGUUAAGUCCUUAAGGGAUGGAGCCGAAGGGAAACCAAGUCUGAAUAGGGCGAAGAGUCAGUCGGAGUAGACCCGAAACCGGGUGACCUAUCCAUGUCCAGGAUGAAGUUGCCGUAAAAGGCAAUGGAGGUCCGAACCCACAUCCGUUGAAAAGGGUGGGGAUGAGGUGUGGAUAGGGGAGAAAUUCCAAUCGAACCCGGAGAUAGCUGGUUCUCCUCGAAAUAGCUUUAGGGCUAGCCUCAUACAAGUCUUGCGGAGGUAGAGCACUGAAUUUCCUAGGGGGCGUCAAAGCUUACCGAAGAAUAUCAAACUCCGAAUGCCGCGUAGAUGGUGUAUGGGAGUCAGACUGCACGAGAUAAGUUGGGUAGUCAAAAGGGAAAGAGCCCAGACCUGCAGCUAAGGUCCCAAAAUGUGUGUUAAGUGGAAAAGGAUGUGGGAUUUCGAAGACAACUAGGAUGUUGGCUCAGAAGCAGCCAUACAUUCAAAGAGUGCGUAAUAGCUCACUAGUCGAGAGGUCCUGCGCCGAAAAUGUCCGGGGCUGAAACACACUACCGAAGCUCAGGAAUGUACUUGUACAUUGGUAGAGGAGCAUUGUAUACGGGAAGAAGCAGUACCGAUAAGGAGCUGUGGACUGUAUAGAAGAGAGAAUGCCGGAAUGAGUAGCGAGAGGAAGGUGAGAAUCCUUCCGGCCGAAUAUCUAAGGUUUCCAGAGUAAAGCUGAUCUGCUCUGGGUAAGUCGGGGCCUAAGGCCAGGUCGAAAGACGUAACCGAUGGACAACAGGUUGAAAUUCCUGUACCGCGAUAUAACAGAACUGUGGGGACACGUGUGGAGAGCACAAGCCGGGAAUGGAAAGCCCGGCGCAAGCAAGGUAGGAGUCGUACUGGCAAAUCCGUACGGCAAUCCGAAGAUGUGAUGCGUACCGAAAUAAGAGUAGGGAAGAGUGUGAGCCAUGCGUCAAGAAAAGCCGCUAUUGUUUGUAUCGCGCCCGUACCGUAAACCGACACAGGUGGAUGAGGAGAGAAUCCUAAGGCCGACGGGAGAAGCAUUGUUAAGGAACUCGGCAAAAUGACUCCGUAACUUCGGGAGAAGGAGUGCCACUGAGAGGUGGCCGCAGAGAAUUGGCCCAAGCAACUGUUUAGCAAAAACACAGGUCUAUGCAAAACCGAAAGGUGAAGUAUAUGCUGACGCCUGCCCGGUGCUGGAAGGUUAAGGGGAGAGGUUAGCGCAAGCGAAGCUUUGAACUUAAGCCCCAGUAAACGGCGGCCGUAACUAUAACGGUCCUAAGGUAGCGAAAUUCCUUGUCGGGUAAGUUCCGACCCGCACGAAAGGCGUAAUGAUUUGGGCACUGUCUCAACAAUGCACCCGGUGAAAUUGAAAUACCAGUGAAGAUGCUGGUUACCUGCGCCAGGACGGAAAGACCCCAUGGAGCUUUACUCCAGCUUGAUACUGGGAUUCGGUAUUGCAUGUACAGGAUAGGUGGGAGGCUUUGAAGCGGUGACGCCAGUUGCCGUGGAGCUGCUGUUGGGAUACCACCCUUGCAGUACUGGGUUUCUAACCAGCGGCCUUAAUCAGGUCGGGGGACAAUGUCAGGUGGGGAGUUUGACUGGGGCGGUCGCUCCGAAAGGGUAUCGGAGGCGCUCAAAGGUUCCCUCAGAAUGGUCGGAAACCAUUCGAAGAGUGCAAAGGCAGAAGGGAGCUUGACUGCGACACCGACGGGUGGAGCAGGUACGAAAGUAGGACUUAGUGAUCCGGUGGUAUAAAGUGGGAUUGCCAUCGCUCAACGGAUAAAAGCUACCCUGGGGAUAACAGGCUUAUCACUCCCAAGAGUUCACAUCGACGGAGUGGUUUGGCACCUCGAUGUCGGCUCAUCGCAUCCUGGGGCUGAAGUAGGUCCCAAGGGUUGGGCUGUUCGCCCAUUAAAGCGGUACGCGAGCUGGGUUCAGAACGUCGUGAGACAGUUCGGUCCCUAUCCGGCGUGGGCGUAGGAUAUUUGAGAGGAGCUGUCCUUAGUACGAGAGGACCGGGAUGGACUGGCCGCUGGUUGAUCUGUUGUUCCGCCAGGAGCAUAGCAGAGUAGCCAAGCCGGGACGGGAUAAACGCUGAAGGCAUCUAAGCGUGAAGCCCCCCUCAAGAUGAGAUAUCCCAACGAAAGUUGUAAGACCCCUUGAAGACGACGAGGUAGAUAGGACAGAGGUGGAAGUGUGGUAACACAUGGAGCUGACUGUUACUAAUAGGUCGAGGGCAUAACCAAG